UUUACAAAAGAUGUCGCUUGGCGCAACAGAAUGUGUUUUCAAGUGUUGUAUUAAUUGUGAAAUUUUAUAUUUUUUAAAAUGCGUUACGCAGUGUUCGGGUGUAAUAAUAAUAAUGGUAAAAAUUGUGCUACGAAAUGGAGAUUUUUCCAUUUCCCUAAAGAUAAAGCAGUAGUAAAACAAUGGAUUCAUUUUUGUCGUAAUACGGACGGAUGUUAAAAAUGCAUGCAUUUGUGAAGUGCACUUCGCGCCAGAAGCCUUCAAAAGAAACUUGCAGUUUGAAAUGGGUUUAAGUUCGCGGAAUCCAACUAAGUUGCUACCUAGCGCUUUUCCCACGUUAACCACUGCUCCUGCAGAGGCUAAUGGAUGGCAGAAAAGAAUGGAGUCUCGUUCCAAAAAAGAGAUGUUAACAACAAUGUUGUAGAAUACCGCCCUGUUGAAGUAAUUCAAGAAGACGAGGUUGGAGAGGUACCUCAAACUGCAGGAGAGGAGGGCAUCGAUGAGAAAGACGAGAAAAUACUGCAUUUGGAAACAGAAAUACAAAGGCUGAAUAAUGUUGUUAGAACUUUGAUAAGUGCAAAAACGACCAGUUAGCAGAAAUUAAACGCCUUUGGAUUUCCAUUAAAACCUCGGAAUUCCACAGUAAUGAUUUGGAGCAAAACCUUAGCUGCAUUUUCAACAACGGCUAGGUAAUAUUUUUCAACGUGUGUCAGUUGAUCUAAACUCCACUUACCCAACUGAAAAAAAUGAUGACUUAGAGAUUCUCAACAACGACGGACCUGACAAUUUGGCAGGGUACAUCUGCCACAAACUUGGUAAAGUCAACCCCGAAAUUUCAUUGCGCAAUCUUGUUUCUGUCAUUCUUGGGAUACGCUUAUAUACUCGUCCACGUAUGUCAUGAUGCCAGAUUACGAUAGAAGUGUUAAGAUCACUAAUACUUAUGCGCGGAGUGAUUUACAACUUACUAUGGCAAACUGAUAGCGACUGCAAAAAAUAGGAGAGAUGGUAAUGAUUUCAGUUGACACUUGCCAAGUUCGGUUGUUCCCCGAAAUACACUUUCAAUUUAAUGGAAAAUAAACGAGCAUCAAUCUCUGCUUGUGCAUUGUACACCAGAGAUAAAGAGAUGUCCAACUCAUCUCUUAUUGGAAGUGAGAGGACAAUUGCUAAACAUCAAAACCUCCUGAACUCGAACAGCUGAUUUUGACGUUUAGCAAUUGGAAAAGAGAGACGACGGACGGAGAAAGUGUGUUGCUGGCUGCAGCGAGGAAGAGUUUUUAAUUUUCCAAACAGUGGAACGAAUCUCGAACGG